rnacentral:lncRNA from 1 species
GAAGUCAUAUCCAUGUGUUGUAUGCAAAAGGCGAUAAGAUACACAUACUUCACAUCAUUUUCGUAGAUUUCCAAAAGACAAAGAAAGGUGUCUGUUAUGGCUAAAUAUAUUGCAUAUCCCAAGCCUCCACGAAAAAAGCCACAUUCAGCUGAAUAGAAGCUUCCGCGUGUGCAGUCACCAUUUCUCUGCCUCUCAAUAUUGCAACACCUCAUCAGCUAAACUAUUAAGCACUGCUUGCCCUGACCAAAAUUUAGAAGGAAUUGGUUCAUUGGGAGAGGCUGGCCAGUCUGCAAUUGCUAAUGAGGACAAAUUAGAUGGUAUAGUAAUUUUAUUGCUUUUAUGUGACAUUAUAAAUAAAAUGAUGAUAUAAUUUGCACUAUAAUAGUAACUGAUAAAUGUUAUUGAUUUUGCAUAAUACAUCCACAGGUGUUUAAUAUUAAUUAGUCUCAAGUAUUGUAUCUGUUCAUUUGCUACCAAAUCCCCAAGUUCUGGUUAAAAUUUAGAAGAGGGAUCUGAGAGGCUCUGCCCCAACAUGUUUCUAGUCCUUAACACACAUAUUGGUGCCAAAUACUAAUUACAUAUUUUAUUUGUUUCAUUCAUGUCUGCAUAAUAUAAUGCAUACCAUUGUGUGCAAUUUUUCCUUUUGAUCAUGAUACAAAACUGUCCAUGUCUUUUUUC